rnacentral:tRNA from 1 species
GAGCCGGUAGCUCAGUCGGUAGAGCACGAGACUUUUAAUCUUGGGGUCAAGGGUUCGAUUCCCUUCCGGCUCACCA